UUGCCUGUCUCAAAGAUCCAUCUGCGAUGAUUGGACAGGCCACAAUCUACACACGUCCACUUCAACAAGAUCUACCCUUAGACUGUGAGAGCUUACGUCCUGCCUCUGGUCCAGCUGUCCCCUGCAUUACUUGUCAGAAGGAAGUUCCCUUUUCAGAGAUGAAGCUGCACAGACUAAGCUGCAACGGGUAUGUACUUCAUAAAGAAAUAAAAGGGAAACCCAUGCAGGA